rnacentral:rRNA from 1 species
UACGUAGGGGGCAAGCGUUGUCCGGAAUCAUUGGGCGUAAAGCGCGUGUAGGCGGUUUGGUAAGUCCGCUGUGAAAGUCCAGGGCUCAACCCUGGAAAGCCGGUGGAUACUGUCAGACUAGAGUACGGGAGAGGCGAGUGGAAUUCCUGGUGUAGCGGUGAAAUGCGCAGAGAUCAGGAGGAACACCAAUUGCGAAGGCAGCUCGCUGGGACGUUACUGACGCUGAGACGCGAAAGCGUGGGGAGCAAACAGG